rnacentral:ribozyme from 14 species
UAUAUGCACAUUCAAUAUGUGAGCUAAAAAGGUUAGGUUUGAAAAAAAAAAAAAAAGAAGAAGAAAGACAGCGACAGUAAAUUAGCGUUUUGCCAUUUUCCGGCGGCGCUCUCUCUCCCUCUCUUUCUUUUCUUCU